AACGAACGCUGGCGGCAUGCCUAACACAUGCAAGUCGAACGAGACCUUCGGGUCUAGUGGCGCACGGGUGCGUAACGCGUGGGAACCUGCCCUUAGGUUCGGAAUAACUCCCCGAAAGGGGUGCUAAUACCGGAUAAUGUCUUCGGACCAAAGAUUUAUCGCCUUUGGAUGGGCCCGCGUUGGAUUAGCUAGUUGGUGGGGUAAAAGCCUACCAAGGCGACGAUCCAUAGCUGGUCUGAGAGGAUGAUCAGCCACACUGGGACUGAGACACGGCCCAGACUCCUACGGGAGGCAGCAGUGGGGAAUAUUGGACAAUGGGCGAAAGCCUGAUCCGGCAAUGCCGCGUGAGUGAUGAAGGCCUUAGGGUUGUAAAGCUCUUUUACCCGGGAUGAUAAUGACAGUACCGGGAGAAUAAGCGCCGGCUAACUCCGUG
rnacentral:rRNA from 1 species